UUGUAAGUGUUUAAGAGCGUUCGGUGGAUGCCUUGGCACCAGGAGCCGAUGAAGGACGUAGGAGGCUGCGAUAAGCCUCGGG
rnacentral:rRNA from 1 species